CAGAACUGCUCAUCACGCUUUGCAGUGGAAUUGUUGCUUGGCCUUGAGCUGUUAGCCUGGUUCAGAAGCUUCGGGUUGUGCUAUCCCAGAGGUGAACCAUGGUCUAAGUAACUGCGAGGAGAUACCAUGAACCCCUGAGUACAUGAUGAAGAAGCAAGAAGAGAAAGAAGCCAAUACAAGAAGCAUUAGUGAUCAGGCUACCUCUGGGCACAGGGUCACUCAAGUUUUGGUGUUAAUGAAUUCCACAAGAUGACCAAGCACUUCCAACUGCAAAAGAUGGAACGAUUGUUUGAUUUCAGAGAAGAAAAACUUAAUUCAAUCCGUUCCAAAAGGGAGGCAAAUUUCCAGGCUAGCAUGAGUGAAGUCAGGAGCUUCAGAUACCAUCUGACCUGGAAGUUUAUGAUGUUACAGGGCAGGGCUUGGGAGUAAUGAUGGAAGUGUCUGCUUGCCUGGUUGUUCACUGACAUCCUGAAGAGCUCCAUCUAUCUCACCAACUCAAGUACAUUGCUACAAUAUCCUCAAUCCUUCAGAAAAUACCCUCAAUCCAACAGAAAAGAAGUGUUGGGGAUUUCAAAAG
rnacentral:lncRNA from 1 species